GGAGAACGUGGUUUAGCUAGGUAGAAUGAGUCGGUGAAUUGUUGAUAUCGAACAAAUGAAUUCGUUAAUUAUCCUAGAUUAAGAUCGCUAUUGAACAAAUAUUUAUUAUUAUAAUUUGUUAUUCUAUAUAAAUAAGACUAUACUCACACGAAGCUAUCCAGACAGUAGCUGGUGGCUUCUAUCGGCAGGUUUCUAACAAUACACGUUAUUGCCUGCACACUUGAGUGGAUUAUUAUCUAAACGCGAAUUGAGGAAAGGUGAAGAAAGAAGGAGAAGAAAUACUAAAUGUAAGAAAACGGGGUAAACACACACAUUGUAAACCAACUAACAUAACGUCUAUAUUUGCAGGGAAUUUUUAUGCGA